UCUAUAUUCAGACUGUGAGAUUCCCGCACAUGCCCAGGUAAACACUUGGACAUGCGAACGGGAAUUUCGUCUAUUCAUUCAUUCGUCAGAAAGACGAACGAAUGAAUAUUUCAGACGAACAAACAAACACUGAGUAUCGGCGCGCAGCUACCUCCUUGUAAUAUGUAAAGAUAGAAGCGGCAGGGAGCUGUGCUCUCCGCCACUUCAAUAUGACCCCAUAUUAGCAUAAGGGAGAUUAGGUAGGGGGUUACUUUUUUUUGGGUGAGUGACUAGGGGCUUGGGGACCCCUAGUCACCUUUGAUGAGGGGAGGGGGGGAAUU